rnacentral:rRNA from 1 species
UACGUAGGAGGCAAGCGUUGUCCGGAGUUACUGGGCGUAAAGCGCACGCAGGCGGUCGCAUCAGUCUGGGGUGACAGUUCCCGGCUUAACCGGAAAAGGACUCUGGAAACUGUGCGACUUGAGGGCUUCAGAGGGAUGUGGAAUUCCAGGUGGAGUGGUGAAAUGCGUAGAGAUCUGGAGGAACAUCCGUGGCGAAGGCGACUACCUGGACCAGCACUGACACUGAGGCACGAAAGCGUGGGGAGCAAACAGG